rnacentral:rRNA from 1 species
GAUCAUGGCUCAGAUUGAACGCUGGCGGCAGGCCUAACACAUGCAAGUCGAGCGGGUUUCGGACCUAGCGGCGGACGGGUGAGUAAUGCGUAGGAAGCUACCCGAUAGAGGGGGAUACCAGUUGGAAACGACUGUUAAUACCGCAUAAUGUCUACGGACCAAAGUGUGGGACCUUCGGGCCACAUGCUAUCGGAUGCGCCUACGUGGGAUUAGCUAGUUGGUGGGGUAAUGGCUCACCAAGGCGACGAUCCCUAGCUGGUUUGAGAGGAUGAUCAGCCACACUGGAACUGAGACACGGUCCAGACUCCUACGGGAGGCAGCAGUGGGGAAUAUUGGACAAUGGGCGCAAGCCUGAUCCAGCCAUGCCGCGUGUGUGAAGAAGGCCUUCGGGUUGUAAAGCACUUUCAGCGAGGAGGAAGGGUUGUGUGUUAAUAGCCACAUAGCCUUGACGUUACUCGCAGAAGAAGCACCGGCUAACUACGUG